CCUACGGGUGGCAGCAGUAGGGAAUCUUCCACAAUGGACGAAAGUCUGAUGGAGCAACGCCGCGUGUGUGAUGAAGGGUUUCGGCUCGUAAAACACUGUUGUAAGAGAAGAAUGACAUUGAGAGUAACUGUUCAGUGUGUGACGGUAUCUUACCAGAAAGGAACGGCUAAAUACGAGGCAGCAGCCGGGGGAAUACGGAUGGUCAUAGAGUUAUCCGGAUUUAUUGGGCGUAACCAGAGUGCAGACGGUUGUUUAAGUCCUAAGUGAAAGCACACCGAUUAACUGUUGACGUGCUUUGAAAACUGGAUAACUUGAGUGAAGUAUAGUAGGGGAGAACUCCAUGUGUAGCGGUGAAAUGUGUAGAUAUAUGGAAGAACCACAGAGGCGAAGGCCGCUCUCUGGACUGUAACUGACGUUGAGGCACGAAAGCCUGGGGAGCAAACAGGAUUAGAUACCCCUGUAGUC
rnacentral:rRNA from 1 species